UGCAAGUCGAGUGCGCGGUUGUAGCAAUACAACUGGCGCACGGCGCACGGGUGCGUAACACGUGGGUAACCUGCCCUUUGGUGGGGAAUAACUCCGCGAAAGCGGAGCUAAUUCCGCAUAAGAUCCGCAAGGAUGAAAGCAGCAAUGCGCCGAAGGAGGGGCCCGCGCCCGAUUAGCUAGUUGGUAGGGUAACGGCCUACCAAGGCUUUGAUCGGUAGCUGGUCUGAGAGGAUGAUCAGCCACACUGGAACUGAGACACGGUCCAGACUCCUACGGGAGGCAGCAGUGGGGAAUCUUGCACAAUGGGCGAAAGCCUGAUGCAGCGACGCCGCGUGGGGGAUGAAGCAUUUCGGUGUGUAAACCCCUUUCGAUCCGGACGAAACCCCGCAAGGGAUUGACGGUACGGAUAUAAGAAGCCCCGGCUAACUACGUGCCAGCAGCCGCGGUAAGACGUAGGGGGCCAGCGUUGUUCGGAAUUACUGAGUGUAAAGGGUUCGUAGGCGGUGCGGCAAGUUGGGAGUGAAAUCUCUGGGCUUAACCCAGAGGCUGCUUCCAAAACUGCUGUGCUUGAGUGUGGGAGAGGCGCGUGGAAUUGCAGGUGUAGCGGUGAAAUGCGUAGAUAUCUGCAGGAACACCCGUGGCGAAAGCGGCGCGCUGGACCACUACUGACGCUGAGGAACGAAAGCUAGGGGAGCAAACAGGAUUAGAUACCCUGGUAGUCCUAGCCCUAAACGAUCAGGACUUGGGGUGCCACCCGUUCGGGUGUCGUCCCGGAGCUAACGCGUUAAGUCCUGCACC
rnacentral:rRNA from 1 species